rnacentral:rRNA from 1 species
GCACCUACCGAUUGGACGAGCCGGCAAGAUGUUUGGAGUUCUGUCUCUUGCGUUUUCGGACGUGAUUGAUGCGAUAAAGCUCAUCAAACCUUAUCGUCUAGAGGAAGGUGAAGUCGUAACAAGGUUUCC